rnacentral:rRNA from 1 species
UACGUAGGGUGCGAGCGUUGUCCGGAAUUAUUGGGCGUAAAGAGCUUGUAGGCGGUUUGUCGCGUCUGCUGUGAAAUCUCAAGGCUCAACCUUGAGCUUGCAGUGGGUACGGGCAGACUAGAGUGUGGUAGGGGAGACUGGAAUUCCUGGUGUAGCGGUGAAAUGCGCAGAUAUCAGGAGGAACACCGGUGGCGAAGGCGGAUCUCUGGGCCUGUACUGACGCUGAGGAACGAAAGCGUGGGGAGCGAACAGG